UGGCAAACCUGAGAGCGGACCCUAAUAGAGAGCAGAGAGGCUCUUCCUGACGUCUGCAGGAUCUAUUUAGCCAAACAGGACGAUGGCCUUUCUGUGGUCACCACAAGAAUCGCCCUGCUCAGAGGAGGAUAGACUGACGUGUUUUUUAUGCUUUUUAAAGAAAGGUAUUUGUCUUUCUGAUGGACUUUGGACUUCCACUGUAUUUCAGCCAACAAUGUUACUGUGUCUGUGCCAGCAAGCGUAUGGGAUAGAGCCGUUGCUAUAGAGCCCCAUUUGGACUGCUACCCAGUUGCCAUAGAGCCGCAUUUGGACUGCUACCCAGUUGCCAUAGAGCCCCAUUUGGACUGCUACCCAGUUGCCAUAGAGCCCCAUUUGGACUGCUACCCAGUUGCCAUAGAGCCACAUUUGGACUGCUACCCAGUUGCCAUAGAACCCCAUUUGGACUGCUACCCAGUUGCCAUAGAACCCCAUUUGGACUGCUACCCAGUUGCAAGCAUACAGGUAACUGCCAAAAUAAAGGAAACCCCAACAUAUCAUGUCUUAAUAGGGCACUGGGCACCACGAGCCAGAACAGCUUCAAUGCACCUUGGUAUAGAUUCUACAAGUGUCUGAAACUCUUGGAGGGAUGCUACACCAUUCUUCCAUGAGAAUUUCCAUCAUUUGGUGUUUUGUUGAUGGUGGUGGGAAACGCUGUCUCAGGCUCCGCUCCAGAAUCUCCCAUAAGUGUUCAAUUGGGUUGAGAUCUGGUGACUGAGACGGCCAUGGCAUAUGGUUUACAUCGUUUUCAUACUCAUCAAACCAUUGUGACCACUCGUGUCCUAUGGAUGGGGUCAUUGUCAUCCUGGAAGACACCACUCCCAUCAAGGUAGAUCUGUUUCACCCUACAGUAGGUAGCAGGGGAUCACUCAGAAUAGCUGUGCAUUUACUGGAGUUGACCUUGCCCUCUAUGGGGUUGAGUGGACCUAAACCAUGCCUGGAAAAUGCACCUCCACACCAUAAGAGCUGCCAAUAAGUACCCUCAUUUACUGGUGUUUCCUUUUAUUUGAGCAGUUACCUGUAGCUGGUCACUGUGAUACACAAUUUACUAGCACCUACUCUGAAAACCCCUAACUAUUAGUCAGCAGGAAGAGUCUGUUAGUAACAGGGGUUGUUGUUGUCYAAACACCCUGACCGUUACGGGGCUUUCCAGUGAUCUAUCCUGGAAUUACUCGGGAAUGCCACUCAUUAAAUCAACUUGAGCUUGUUGUAGGCGACCUGCACUCCAAGCUGGCUUGUGUCCCACAUGACAUCCACACGAUUCUGAAACCAGGUGGGAGUUUUAAAUAUCUGAUUUAAAUCAUGCAGUAGAAAUGAAAGUUUGUUUCCUGUACACAACUGUAUUUCUGACGUGCUUAGUAUACACAAUCUGUUGUGAAUAACUCGUCACUCUCUGUAGUUUUUUUUGCUAAGUGUGUCCAUACUGGGAAAAACUCUGAAAUGGGAUGUCUUUUAAAAAUGGUAUCUUAUGUGAUUUCCUAGGCUGUUAUCCUAUACCAGAACAAAUGGAGUAUAGAUGGUGUUGUACCUGAACAGUAUGUUGUCCCUUCACUAAUACCUUAUCUGUUUUAUACACUGGGCUUAAAGUUGACUUAAUGCUGAAGGUGGGACUUUGCAUACUGCUUGGUGGCUUUCCUAUCUUUGGUAGAGCUUGUAAUACUGAGUACAUUCUCAGCCCAACAGAAUGACUGCUGCCUUGAAGUUUCUGGAACAAUGUACAUUGGUAACGUCAGUAACUUGAGUCUGUUGGCAUUUCAGUUUCUUUCCCAUCUUUAUCAUGGUUGUUAUUAGACCAAAACUCAAGUUCAUUAGAAAUGAUUUGUGCAAUCUCCUGAUUUUUCCUGAAAUACAGUUCACAUUCUGAAUAGAAUUCUGUGUGAUUAAUCUCUUCUGUUGCUGAUGGUGAAUGUUAUCACCAAAUGUGUUACUCAAUUUUCACUGCCUGGUACAGAAAUAAUAGAAUCUCAACCAACUGGUUUCAGUGGCCCCUGUGGGCUCUGCUGUGAACAUUUCUGGGAGAUUGUAUCAUUUUCAUUGAAGUUAGUGGGAAUCUGUAGUUGCUACAUCCAUUUUGGGAUUUAUAAAUGUAAAUGAUGUAUACCCAUUGAUUCUUGAAUAUUUUAUAAAUGCCUCACGAGCUUAGUUCAAACUUCCUGGAUGGUCAGUCCUUGCAUCCACAGUGCUGUCUAUGAUUUGAGAGCAGUUACAUUUCUCCAGGCCCAUCCUUCAGCUUUUUACCAAACACAGUCGGGGUUACUGCUUGUCAUUGUUUCAAUUAAGGAUUCUAGUUUUAAUCUCAAACUACAAUGCAUAUCUCACUGAAAUCCAUCUGGUAUAGCACACAUAUUGCAAUCUAAACAAAUGCCCUAAAUAAAUGGAAUGUACACUAUAGUCUGUGUACGUCUCGCUUUAAAAAAAAACAUGCAUAACAAAGAUGUUAAAUGAUUCCACUAACAAUGCAAAUAGUUGGUAUGGAAAUCUUGUUCUAAGAGCAGCCCAGGGUUGAGUGAAAGAUGGGUGCAAGGAUCUGUUCCAGCAGCAACCCACUGGACAGAAGAUUACAAUUUAACGGGAGUGAACUCCGUGAAUUGUCUAACCCUGUGAAAUACAGUCCUAAGUAGAGAAUGGUGAAGUCUACGGGUGUUUAGUAGAGGACGUGUGAAGUCUACGGGGUGUGAAGUCUACGGGGUGUUUAGUAGAGGAAGUGUGAAGUCUACGGGGUGUGAAGUCUACGGGGUGUUUACUAGAGGACGUGUGAAGUCUACGGGGUGUUGAGUCUACGGGGUGUUACUAAGAGGACGUGUGACGUCUAAGGGGUGUUUAGUAGAGCGUGUGACGUCUCCGGG
ensembl:lncRNA